GAUGAACGCUGGCGGCGUGCCUAAUACAUGCAAGUCGAGCGAACGGACGAGAAGCUUGCUUUUCUGAUGUUAGCGGCGGACGGGUGAGUAACACGUGGAUAACCUACCUAUAAGACUGGGAUAACUUCGGGAAACCGGAGCUAAUACCGGAUAAUAUUUUGAACCGCAUGGUUCAAAAGUGAAAGACGGUCUUGCUGUCACUUAUAGAUGGAUCCGCGCUGCAUUAGCUAGUUGGUAAGGUCACGGCUUACCAAGGCAACGAUGCAUAGCCGACCUGAGAGGGUGAUCGGCCACACGGGAACUGAGACACGGUCCAGACUCCGACGGGAGGCAGCAGUAGAGAAUCUUCCGCAAUGGGCGAAAGCCUGACGGAGCAACGCCGCGUGAGUGAUGAAGGUCUUCGGAUCGUAAAACUCUGUUAUUAGGGAAGAACAUAUGUGUAAGUAACUGUGCACAUCUUGACGGUACCUAAUCAGAAAGCCACGGCUAACUACGUG
rnacentral:rRNA from 1 species